UACAGAGGGUGCGAGCGUUAAUCGGAAUUACUGGGCGUAAAGCGUGCGCAGGCGGUGAUGUAAGACCGAUGUGAAAUCCCCGGGCUUAACCUGGGAACUGCAUUGGUGACUGCAUCGCUAGAGUAUGGCAGAGGGGGGUGGAAUUCCACGUGUAGCAGUGAAAUGCGUAGAGAUGUGGAGGAACACCGAUGGCGAAGGCAGCCCCCUGGGCCAAUACUGACGCUCAUGCACGAAAGCGUGGGG
rnacentral:rRNA from 1 species